ACACCCGUUCCCAUUCCGAACACGGCAGUUAAGCUCUUCAGCGCCGAUGGUAGUUGGGGGUUCUCCCCCUGUGAGAGUAGGACGCCGCCAAGC
rnacentral:rRNA from 1 species